ensembl:lncRNA
UACCAGGCCCAGGGACAAAGGUCUGAAGUGGCCUUGACAGCCCAUGGGCUGUGUGAGAACAAGCAACGGGCUCCUGCGUCACUGCAGCUUGCACAUCUCCCUGGAGAGCAUCCAGCACCACGGGGACCCCAGGCUCUCAGGGCCUGGGGACAAGUGCCAGCAUCUGGACACACAUGGGCUGGACACAGGCCCCACAGGACACAGUUACAUGAGUGUGCAUGCCACAAAAGCCUGGGAGAAAACACAUAAAACUCUUCACAGUGUUUCUCAGCAAGGCAGCGGUUGAUAAACACCCUCGGUGUAAGGAGCGGUGAAACACAGAAUCCACGCAUAUUUCUGGGAACGCGACCAGCUCCUUGUCAGUAGCCCCAGCACAGGACGUGGGUGUGCGAGUACUGGCACACGGGGGCAUACACGAACGCUCAUGGCACACACAGCCCACACCCAAUCCACACUCCGGUUUCUCACAAAGCCCAGACUGGGCUGUCUGUCACGGCCAGCAAUAGGCGGACUCACUUACGUGUAAAUCGCGGGUACAUCUAAAUCCAAAGGGACAAGCAUGCUGCAAUUACGGAUGAAGCAGAUCUACUUUUCCCUAAGCACAACUAAAAACCCCGAACAUUAUAUGUAAAACAAACAUAAAACACGCUGAGAGGUGGAGAGAGGACGGUAGACCACGGUCCCAGGGACAGCACAGUAGGG